GAUAAUUUGACAUUUCUUCAACGGAACCCAGCACCUGAAUAUGGCUGAGUAUAUUUGAUUUAAUAUCGAUACUGCUUAGUGUUCUUUGUUACUUCAGCUUUUGUACGUUCUAAAUAUCUGCUGUCAUUCAUUGCCACAGAAGUUAAACCCUACCCAAUAGAAUGACGUUAAACAACGACUUUGGUGCAGAGUUAACAACUGGAUAAUAUAAAAGCUAAAAUAAUGGCCGUCAUUCCCACAUGUUACAGUAGAAGAUACUCUAGAACUGUACAAGGUUAAAAAUGUAACAUGUAGUUUGUCCCAAGGUGUCUGCCUCCUCACCCAGAGCCAGACCUCCACCUCCUCACCCAGAGCCAGACCUCCACCUCCUCACCCAGAGCCAGACCUCCACCUCCUCACCCAGAGCCAGACCUCCACCUCCUGUCAGAAGUCCUCCAGAACAGGCGAGGCUGAGAGGCUGGGGACCGGAGGCUUGUGGUGCCAGGGUGGACCGGAGACUGAGGCUGGAGACCAGGGGCCUGCAGCACCGGACCAGAGGACCAGGAAUCCAUGGCUGAAGGCGCUGAUGGAGGAGCCGUGCUGAUGGAGGAGCCGUGCUGAUGGAGGAGCCGUGCUGAUGGAGGAGCCGCGCUGAUGGAGGAGCCGUGCUGAUGGAGGAGCCGGAUGGAGGAGCCGUGCUGAUGGAGGAGCCGUGCUGAUGGAGGAGCCGUGCUGAUGGAGGAGCCGUGCUGAGGGCCCUGGGCUGGUGGAGGAGCUGGUGGAGGGCCUGCCUGGGGAAUGACGUCUAUCGUAGACCAGGACUCUGUCUGAGGAGAGCUGCUGUAGGAGCUGAGACGCUGGAGGACGACUAGGAAUCGACCAACAAGGAUUCCUCAACGUGUUUCUGGAGCGGAGGCGAGCUGGUAGGGGAGCCGUGAAUCUGGAGGAUGACCAUCACUCUACAAACAAGGAUUGCAAGUUUGUAUUAACCAAACAAACUGGAAAUAAAGGGCUUAAAAAUAAGACAAAGUACACGUUUGUUACCAGACUUUAGGGCCUGACUCACGCUGUUUGUUCCAGACCAGGACUCUGGCUGAGGAGAGCUGAUGGAGGAGCCAAGACUCUGGAGGACGACAUCACUCCACCAACCAGGAUCCUCGUAAGUUUGCCUAAAAUAAACAGAGUGGACUUGUUGUAACGCAGGAUUAGUUUGUCCAGUACAAGUUACGGCAUACU
ensembl:lncRNA